rnacentral:rRNA from 1 species
AUCGGUGACAAUACCGCAUACGUUCUCGUGAGAGCGAGAGCAAAGCUUCUUUCGGGAGGCGCUUUUGGACAAGCCUGCGUCCGAUUAGUUAGCUGGUGGGGUAAUGGCCUACCAGGGCAAUGAUCGGUAGCUGGUCUGAGAGGAUGAUCAGCCACACUGGGAUUGAGAACGGCCCAGACUCCUACGGGGGGCAGCAGUGAGGAAUUUUCCGCAAUGGGGGCAACCCUGACGGAGCAACGCCGCGUGCAGGAUGAAGGUCUUCGGAUCGUAAACUGCUUUUAUCGGGGAAGAGAACGGACGGUACCCGAUGAAUAAGCCCCGGCUAACUACGUGCCAGCAGCCGCGGUAAUACGUAGGGGGCGAGCGUUAUCCGGAAUUACUGGGCGUAAAGCGCAUGCAGGCGGUUGGAAAAGUUCCGGCUGACAAUCUUCGGCUUAACCGAAGAAGGCGUCGGAAAACUCUCC